UUUAUCAGAGGCGAUUUCCGACGUUAUCCGUCGACGAUCUCUCUCUCUCUCUCUCUCUCUCUCUCUCUCUCUCUCUCUCUCCUCCAUGGCCUCCUUCGCGCUUCUUCGGUCUCUCCGUCGCUGUGAAGUCCCCAAUCUCUCCUCUAUUUUGCUCAAAAUGGAACUUGGAUUCUAGGGUUUUGUUCAAGCUUCGCUGAUUUUUACUUGGUUUGCUUCGAUUCUAGUCUCUCAACUGCGCUCAUGUAAUUGAGCUGUUACUCUGAUUUACACAAAGAUUACAACUUUAGAAAUGAGUUUAAUGGCGAGGCAAAGGCCAAAACAGGAUUGGUUCUUCCAAGCUCGGUUUUGAUGGGGAAGAAUUGGGUUUUUGUUAAGAAGCAGAGAGUCAUCAUUGUCAUGCCUUCUCUUCCUCUACCUGAGCCUUCUUUCACUCUGGAGAAGCCGCCGCCUGCAACUACUCAUCCACAAGCUGAGCUUAGAGACUCUGUUGUUGCUGCUGAUAAUAGUUAAGAAACUGUUCGUGUGGUGGUACCAACUAUUUUACAUUACUGCCGACUAUUUUAUUGUAGCAUUCGGCUAAUGUCUUCUCAAUCUCUUAAUGCUUUGGUAUAUUAUGGGAAUAAAAGAGCUGUGGAUGGUUUGGACCAAAAGGCUAAGGCUAGUGGUGCUUCUCAGUUGGUCGUUAAGGACCUCACGGAGGAGUUUGUGAAAGAUUACAUAUGAACGAAAAUGAAGACACUCAAGGAUGUGGGAGCCAUAGGGAAGCAAAUAGAAGACGGAGUAAGACUAAUGGGUCGUGGUCUCGAGAGUGACAGUUAGGGCCAAAGAAGUGGUGGAAGCGGCAGGAGGAUCGGUGAGGAGAGUGUAUUACAACAAAUUGGGCUUGAGGGCGUUGCUUAAACCGGAAUGGUUUGAGAAGAAAGGAAGGCUAUUGCCAAAAGCAGCGAGACCGCCUCCGAAACAACAAGAUAGGGUCGAUAGCAUCGGACGUCUUCCCGCUCCGAAGAAACCCAUCCCGUUUCUUUCAGCUGAGGAAAACAAAGUCGAGUCUCAUGUUGAAUCGUGAUGUUUGAGAUAGGUUUUUUUAACGUUUCAUGUUUUGGUUUAAGUUGUUUGUGUUGUUUCUUGUUCAUGUUCUUACAAGAAAAAAAAUUGAAAAUGGCGGAUUUUUAUUGGACGAAAUAAAGCCAUUCUCUCGUUUAAUUUUCUCA